rnacentral:lncRNA from 1 species
AUUUUUAAUUUUUAAUUUUUAAUUUGAAUUUAAAUUAAUAUAUUAUAAAGAUAAUGUUAGUAUAUUAAUUUGAUUACAUUUUUUAUAUCCACCUGAACCAAACACCGACAAUGGGAAUGAUUUAUUCCGAUUCCGAUUCAGGUGAUGAACCAAACAGAAUUAGGUAAUGAGUCAUUCCGAUUCCGAUUCCAGCUUAUUUUGAUUCCGAUUCCGAUUUCGAUUCCGACUUCGAGCCAAACGCGUCCUUAGAUUCCACUCCAAGGGUUUCUUAUAAACUGUUGAUAUGUCGAUCGAUCCAUGUAACAUAUCGAAUUAUAACACAAGUGAACCAAGUAAAACUCUUCGCAUUAUAUUUACGACAUUAUAUCAGCAGCAUAUAAGGACAAUAUUUCAGGGGAACUUGUACGUAGUAGUACUCAUCCAAUUUUUGCUCUCCAAUUUAAACAAAUAUUGGUCAUUUCGGAUGAUCACACUGGAGGUCAUUUCGGAUGACCACAUUGGCUAGUCUAGUAGCUGUUGUCGAGGUUGCCGUCUUCGAGGUCGGAGAUUCAAUCUCUACUUACUCUUUCACAACCCAGAGUAUUACAAUAGAGGGCAACAUAGGGAUGCAAAUGGAUCCGGGUUGGUGGAGCUUCCGCCCCGAUCUGCAUCGAAUAGGGCGGUGAGUGGGAAUAAAAAAAGUAUAUAGGAAAGUAUAUUCUGUCCUGAUCUGUUGAGUAAAUAGAGCAUAAGGGAGCGGUAAGUGAGGGCCAAAAAUAGAAUUAGAAUUAACAUGCUCCGAAUCCGCCUGAUCCGAUAAGAAAUGGAGCGGAAAGUGGCAGACCGCUGCCGUCCUCCAAUCCGCCUAGUUUUCAU